GAUGAACGCUGGCGGCGUGCCUAAUACAUGCAAGUCGAGCGAACGGACGAGAAGCUUGCUUCUCUGAUGUUAGCGGCGGACGGGUGAGUAACACGUGGAUAACCUACCUAUAAGACUGGGAUAACUUCGGGAAACCGGAGCUAAUACCGGAUAAUAUUUUGAACCGCAUGGUUCAAAAGUGAAAGACGGUCUUGCUGUCACGUAUAGAUGGAUCCGCGCUGCAUUAGCUAGUUGGUAAGGUAACGGCCUACCAAGGCAACGAUGCAUAGCCGACCUGAGAGGGUGAUCGGCCACACUGGAACUGAGACACGGACAAGACUCCUACGGGAGGCAGCAGUAGGUAAUCUUCCGCAAUGGGCGAAAGCCUGACGGAGCAACGCCGCGUGAGUGAUGAAGGUCUUCGGAUCGUAAAACUCUGUUAUGAGGGAAGAACAUAUGUGUAAGUAACUGUGCACAUCUUGACGGUACCUAAUCAGAAAGCCACGGCUAACUACGUG
rnacentral:rRNA from 1 species